rnacentral:rRNA from 1 species
UACGUAGGGUGCGAGCGUUAAUCGGAAUUACUGGGCGUAAAGGGUGUGCAGGCGGGGUUGGAAGGGGUGUAUGAAAUCUCCCGGCUUAACCGGGAGGGGUUAUGCCAGACUGCAAUUCUAGAGGACGAGAGAGGGGGGUGGAAUUCCGGGUGUAGUGGUGAAAUGCGUAGAGAUCCGGAGGAACCCCAGAGGCGAAGGCGGCCCCCUGGCUCGUACCUGACGCUCAGCCACGAAAGCAUGGGGAGCGAACGGG